GGCUGGUCCAAAGGUAGUGAGUUAUCUUGAUUGUUCAGUUACAGAUCAAACUCUAUUCUACUCUUUACCUCCUUCUUACUUCUACACUUGCCUAGUCAAGC
rnacentral:Y_RNA from 1 species